GGUUAAGCGACUAAGCGUACACGGUGGAUGCCCUGGCAGUCAGAGGCGAUGAAGGACGUGCUAAUCUGCGAUAAGCGUCGGUAAGGUGAUAUGAACCGUUAUAACCGGCGAUUUCCGAAUGGGGAAACCCAGUGUGUUUCGACACACUAUCAUUAACUGAAUCCAUAGGUUAAUGAGGCGAACCGGGGGAACUGAAACAUCUAAGUACCCCGAGGAAAAGAAAUCAACCGAGAUUCCCCCAGUAGCGGCGAGCGAACGGGGAGCAGCCCAGAGCCUGAAUCAGUGUGUGUGUUAGUGGAAGCGUCUGGAAAGGCGCGCGAUACAGGGUGACAGCCCCGUACACAAAAAUGCACAUGCUGUGAGCUCGAUGAGUAGGGCGGGACACGUGGUAUCCUGUCUGAAUAUGGGGGGACCAUCCUCCAAGGCUAAAUACUCCUGACUGACCGAUAGUGAACCAGUACCGUGAGGGAAAGGCGAAAAGAACCCCGGCGAGGGGAGUGAAAAAGAACCUGAAACCGUGUACGUACAAGCAGUGGGAGCACGCUUAGGCGUGUGACUGCGUACCUUUUGUAUAAUGGGUCAGCGACUUAUAUUCUGUAGCAAGGUUAACCGAAUAGGGGAGCCGAAGGGAAACCGAGUCUUAACUGGGCGUUAAGUUGCAGGGUAUAGACCCGAAACCCGGUGAUCUAGCCAUGGGCAGGUUGAAGGUUGGGUAACACUAACUGGAGGACCGAACCGACUAAUGUUGAAAAAUUAGCGGAUGACUUGUGGCUGGGGGUGAAAGGCCAAUCAAACCGGGAGAUAGCUGGUUCUCCCCGAAAGCUAUUUAGGUAGCGCCUCGUGAAUUCAUCUCCGGGGGUAGAGCACUGUUUCGGCAAGGGGGUCAUCCCGACUUACCAACCCGAUGCAAACUGCGAAUACCGGAGAAUGUUAUCACGGGAGACACACGGCGGGUGCUAACGUCCGUCGUGAAGAGGGAAACAACCCAGACCGCCAGCUAAGGUCCCAAAGUCAUGGUUAAGUGGGAAACGAUGUGGGAAGGCCCAGACAGCCAGGAUGUUGGCUUAGAAGCAGCCAUCAUUUAAAGAAAGCGUAAUAGCUCACUGGUCGAGUCGGCCUGCGCGGAAGAUGUAACGGGGCUAAACCAUGCACCGAAGCUGCGGCAGCGACACUAUGUGUUGUUGGGUAGGGGAGCGUUCUGUAAGCCUGU
rnacentral:rRNA from 1 species